CUACGGGAGGCUGCAGUGAGGAAUAUUGCGCAAUGGGCGAAAGCCUGACGCAACCAUGCCGCGUGUGUGAUGAAGGCCUUCGGGUUGUAAAGCACUGCCAGAGGGGAAGAGCAGCCCGGUCAACACCCGGGUCCGACGGUACCCUCAAAGGAAGCACCGGCUAACUCCGUGCCAGCAGCCGCGGUAAAACGGGGGGGCUAGCGUUGUUCGGAAUCACUGGGCGUAAAGCGUGCGUAGGCGGCCUGUUAAGCCAGGUGUGAAAUCCUGCGGCUUAACCGUAGAACUGCAUCUGGAACUGGCAGGCUAGAGUUCGGUAGAGGGAAGGGGAAGUCCCGGUGGAGAGGUGAAAUUCGUAGAGAUCGGGAGGAAUACCAGUGGCGAAGGCGCCUUCCUGGACCUGAACUGACGCUGAGGCACGAAAGCGUGGGGAGCAAACAGGAUUAGAUACCCGAGUAGUC
rnacentral:rRNA from 1 species